UGGUAUAGUGGCCUUGCUGUGGAACACGGUGAGAAUCCGUGACUGUGCCGCAACGGUGUUUGGCUCGUGCCAAAAGUCCGAUCUUCAGCACACUA
rnacentral:ncRNA from 1 species